GCUGAGGUGGCGGAAUUGGUAUACGCGCACGUUUGAGGGGCGUGUCCUAAUUGGAUUGCGGGUUCAAAUCCCGCCCUCAGCA
rnacentral:tRNA from 1 species